rnacentral:rRNA from 1 species
GCGAAAAGAACCCCGGCGAGGGGAGUGAAAAAGAACCUGAAACCGUGUACGUACAAGCAGUGGGAGCACAGGUUUACCUGUGUGACUGCGUACCUUUUGUAUAAUGGGUCAGCGACUUAUAUUCUGUAGCAAGGUUAACCGAAUAGGGGAGCCGGAGGGAAACCGAGUCUUAAUUGGGCGUUAAGUUGCAGGGUAUAGACCCGAAACCCGGUGAUCUAGCCAUGGGCAGGUUGAAGGUUGGGUAACACUAACUGGAGGACCGAACCGACUAAUGUUGAAAAAUUAGCGGAUGACCUGUGGCUGGGGGUGAAAGGCCAAUCAAACCGGGAGAUAGCUGGUUCUCCCCGAAAGCUAUUUAGGUAGCGCCUCGUGAAUUCAUCUCCGGGGGUAGAGCACUGUUUCGGCUAGGGGGCCAUCCCGGCUUACCAACCCGAUGCAAACUGCGAAUACCGGAGAAUGUUAUCACGGGAGACACACGGCGGGUGCUAACGUCCGUCGUGAAGAGGGAAACAACCCAGACCGCCAGCUAAGGUCCCAAAGUCAUGGUUAAGUGGGAAACGAUGUGGGAAGGCCCAGACAGCCAGGAUGUUGGCUUAGAAGCAGCCAUCAUUUAAAGAAAGCGUAAUAGCUCACUGGUCGAGUCGGCCUGCGCGGAAGAUGUAACGGGGCUAAACCAUGCACCGAAGCUGCGGCAGCGAACGUAUCACCCAAGACAACUUUACGGAGUUGACGAUUGACGGAGCGAAGCGACGUCAAAGCGUUCAUUAAAGUCGAGUUGGCUUAGGGAUACGUUCGUUGGGUAGGGGAGCGUUCUGUAAGCCUGUGAAGGUGUGUCGUGAGGCAUGCUGGAGGUAUCAGAAGUGCGAAUGCUGACAUAAGUAACGAUAAAGCGGGUGAAAAGCCCGCUCGCCGGAAGACCAAGGGUUCCUGUCCAACGUUAAUCGGGGCAGGGUGAGUCGACCCCUAAGGCGAGGCCGAAAGGCGUAGUCGAUGGGAAACGGGUUAAUAUUCCCGUACUUGGUGUUACUGCGAAGGGGGGACGGAGAAGGCUAUGUUGGCCGGGCGACGGUUGUCCCGGUUUAAGCGUGUAGGUGUGUGUUCCAGGUAAAUCCGGUUCACUUUAACACUGAGGCGUGA